rnacentral:ncRNA from 2 species
GGGGCACCCCGUACUGCAAGUUAAACACCUCCACUGUAGGAGGUGGGGAAACCGGUGAGAGUCCGGUACAGUACCCGCUGCUGUAAGUCUCACGCAAUAGCCGAUCGGCCUCGACAAGCCACUGGGGGCAACGCCCCUCGAGAAGGCGCUGAUGCGGCAGAGAUAAGUCAGAAGACCGACUUGCGACCCGGGAUGCGC